rnacentral:rRNA from 1 species
UAACGAAUCUUCCGCAAUGCACGAAAGUGUGACGGGGCAAUGCCGCGUGUGGGAUGAAGCCCCUCGGGGUGUAAACCACUGUCAGGGUCUAGGAACACAAUGACCAUACCCAAAGGAAGCACCGGCUAACUCUGUGCCAGCAGCCGCGGUAAUACAGAGGGUGCGAGCGUUAAUCGGAAUCACUGGGCUUAAAGGGUCCGUAGGCGGGACUGCAGGCGUCGAGUGAAAUACCACGGCUCAACCGUGGAACUGCUCGGCGAACCGCAGUUCUUGAGGCGAGUAGAGGCGAUCAGAACGAUAGGUGGAGCGGUGAAAUGCGUAGAUAUCUAUCGGAAUGCCGAAGGUGAAGACAGGUCGCUGGGCUCGUCCUGACGCUGAGGGACGAAAGCGUGGGGAGCAA